UCCCCUUUUUCUUUUUUCUUCUUCCACCACUACCCACACCCUCCUCUUUUCUGGACGACGUCUAGUCCUCCAUCGCCGUUUGGCGCCUCCCAGCCCUCCGUGGCAGCCACCCAGCCUCGUCUGCCUGCCUCCCAUUUUCGUGAUUUUCUUCUAGAUUUAGAAGAUCUAAAGAUACCAAGAGACCUGCACUUGCAAAAUGUAGGGGGUGGCGUUAUAAAGUUACAUAUUUCAUACAUAUUAAUUACUAAUGACAUAGUUGAAUUCUGUAAGUCCUUAAAACCUAUCUUAUUUCUUGAUGGGUUUGCAUCAAAUAUGUCAUGAUCUGUGAGUUAGAAAGGUGGAAAACUUUGGGGUUUGAAAACUUAUGUCUUUCACGUUUUGUUUCUGAGGCCUCUUUCAUUGGUAUUAGAGUGUAUCUAAGAAAAUAUGUAUCCACUAUUGUUGUUGAGCUAUGCAAAUGCUUUUGAGAUUUAUGUGCAAAAA